rfam:Methanoculleus sp. MAB1 isolate Methanoculleus sp MAB1 genome assembly, chromosome: chrI
CCCGCCUUAACUCAGACUGGUAGAGUGCGCGGCUGUAGUAUAGUAUUCGCUCUCGGGCGAACUGCGCGGCUACCGCGAUGUCCCCGGUUCGAAUCCGGGAGGCGGGA